AUUGAACGCUGGCGGCAGGCCUAACACAUGCAAGUCGAGCGAGCGGCGGACGGGUGAGUAAUGUAUGGGGACUGCCCGAUAGAGGGGGAUAACUACUGGAAACGGUGGCUAAUACCGCAUACUAUCGGAUAACCCAUAUGGGAUUAGCUAGUAGGUAAGGUAAUGGCUUACCUAGGCGACGAUCCAUAGCUGGUCUGAGAGGAUGAUCAGCCACACUGGGACUGAGACACGGCCCAGACUCCUACGGAGGCCGCAGUGGGGACUAUUGCACAAUGGGCGAAAGCCUGAUGAAGCCAUGCCGCGUGUAUGAAGAAGUCCCUAGGGUUUUAAAGUACUUUCAGUCGGGAGGCGUUACCGACAGAAGAAGCACCGGCUAACUCCGUGCCAGCAGCCGCGGUAAUUC
rnacentral:rRNA from 1 species